ACAACGCCGAAGAUGUUUUGGCGAUUUGANCACUAUCGUUAACUGAAUACAUAGGUUAACGAGGCGAACCGGGGGAACUGAAACAUCUAAGUACCCCGAGGAAAAGAAAUCAACCGAGAUUCCCCCAGUAGCGGCGAGCGAACGGGGAGCAGCCCAGAGUCUGAAUCAGCUUGUGUGUUAGUGGAACGGUCUGGAAAGUCCGACGGUACAGGGUGAUAGUCCCGUACACCAAAAUGCACAGGUUGUGAACUCGAAGAGUAGGGCGGGACACGUGGUAUCCUGUCUGAAUAUGGGGGGACCAUCCUCCAAGGCUAAAUACUCCUGACUGACCGAUAGUGAACCAGUACCGUGAGGGAAAGGCGAAAAGAACCCCGGCGAGGGGAGUGAAAAAGAACCUGAAACCGUGUACGUACAAGCAGUGGGAGCACCUUCGGGUGUGACUGCGUACCUUUUGUAUAAUGGGUCAGCGACUUAUAUUCUGUAGCAAGGUUAACCGUAUAGGGGAGCCGCAGGGAAACCGAGUCUUAACUGGGCGUUAAGUUGCAGGGUAUAGACCCGAAACCCGGUGAUCUAGCCAUGGGCAGGUUGAAGGUUGGGUAACACUAACUGGAGGACCGAACCGACUAAUGUUGAAAAAUUAGCGGAUGACUUGUGGCUGGGGGUGAAAGGCCAAUCAAACCGGGAGAUAGCUGGUUCUCCCCGAAAGCUAUUUAGGUAGCGCCUCGUGAACUCAUCUUCGGGGGUAGAGCACUGUUUCGGCUAGGGGGUCAUCCCGACUUACCAACCCGAUGCAAACUACGAAUACCGAAGAAUGUUAUCACGGGAGACACACGGCGGGUGCUAACGUCCGUCGUGAAGAGGGAAACAACCCAGACCGCCAGCUAAGGUCCCAAAGUCAUGGUUAAGUGGGAAACGAUGUGGGAAGGCACAGACAGCCAGGAUGUUGGCUUAGAAGCAGCCAUCAUUUAAAGAAAGCGUAAUAGCUCACUGGUCGAGUCGGCCUGCGCGGAAGAUGUAACGGGGCUAAACCAUGCACCGAAGCUGCGGCAGCGACACUAUGUGUUGUUGGGUAGGGGAGCGUUCUGUAAGCCUGCGAAGGUGUGCUGUGAGGCAUGCUGGAGGUAUCAGAAGUGCGAAUGCUGACAUAAGUAACGAUAAAGCGGGUGAAAAGCCCGCUCGCCGGAAGACCAAGGGUUCCUGUCCAACGUUAAUCGGGGCAGGGUGAGUCGACCCCUAAGGCGAGGCCGAAAGGCGUAGUCGAUGGGAAACAGGUUAAUAUUCCUGUACUUGGUGUUACUGCGAAGGGGGGACGGAGAAGGCUAUGUUAGCCGGGCGACGGUUGUCCCGGUUUAAGCAUGUAGGCUGAUUGUCCAGGCAAAUCCGGAUAAUCAAGGCUGAGGUGUGAUGACGAGGCACUACGGUGCUGAAGUAACAAAUGCCCUGCUUCCAGGAAAAGCCUCUAAGCAUCAGGUAACAUUAAAUCGUACCCCAAACCGACACAGGUGGUCAGGUAGAGAAUACCAAGGCGCUUGAGAGAACUCGGGUGAAGGAACUAGGCAAAAUGGUGCCGUAACUUCGGGAGAAGGCACGCUGGUGUGUAGGUGAAGUCCCUGCGGAUGGAGCUGAGACCAGUCGAAGAUACCAGCUGGCUGCAACUGUUUAUUAAAAACACAGCACUGUGCAAACACGAAAGUGGACGUAUACGGUGUGACGCCUGCCCGGUGCCGGAAGGUUAAUUGAUGGGGUUAUCCGUAAGGAGAAGCUCUUGAUCGAAGCCCCGGUAAACGGCGGCCGUAACUAUAACGGUCCUAAGGUAGCGAAAUUCCUUGUCGGGUAAGUUCCGACCUGCACGAAUGGCGUAAUGAUGGCCAGGCUGUCUCCACCCGAGACUCAGUGAAAUUGAACUCGCUGUGAAGAUGCAGUGUACCCGCGGCAAGACGGAAAGACCCCGUGAACCUUUACUAUAGCUUGACACUGAACAUUGAGCCUUGAUGUGUAGGAUAGGUGGGAGGCUUUGAAGCGUGGACGCCAGUCUGCGUGGAGCCAACCUUGAAAUACCACCCUUUAAUGUUUGAUGUUCUAACGUUGGCCCCUUACCGGGGUUGCGGACAGUGUCUGGUGGGUAGUUUGACUGGGGCGGUCUCCUCCCAAAGCGUAACGGAGGAGCACGAAGGUUAGCUAAUCCUGGUCGGACAUCAGGAGGUUAGUGCAAUGGCAUAAGCUAGCUUGACUGCGAGCGUGACGGCGCGAGCAGGUGCGAAAGCAGGUCAUAGUGAUCCGGUGGUUCUGAAUGGAAGGGCCAUCGCUCAACGGAUAAAAGGUACUCCGGGGAUAACAGGCUGAUACCGCCCAAGAGUUCAUAUCGACGGCGGUGUUUGGCACCUCGAUGUCGGCUCAUCACAUCCUGGGGCUGAAGUAGGUCCCAAGGGUAUGGCUGUUCGCCAUUUAAAGUGGUACGCGAGCUGGGUUUAGAACGUCGUGAGACAGUUCGGUCCCUAUCUGCCGUGGGCGCUGGAGAAUUGAGGGGGGCUGCUCCUAGUACGAGAGGACCGGAGUGGACGCAUCACUGGUGUUCGGGUUGUCAUGCCAAUGGCACUGCCCGGUAGCUAAAUGCGGAAGAGAUAAGUGCUGAAAGCAUCUAAGCACGAAACUUGCCCCGAGAUGAGUUCUCCCUGAGACUUUAAGUCUCCUGAAGGAACGUUGAAGACGACGACGUUGAUAGGCCGGGUGUGUAAGCGCAGCGAUGCGUUGAGCUAACCGGUACUAAUGAACCGUGAGGCUUAACCUU
rnacentral:rRNA from 1 species